GGAUCUUGAGAGCGGCGUACGGGUGCGGAACACGUGUGCAACCUGCCUUUAUCUGGGGGAUAGCCUUUCGAAAGGAAGAUUAAUACCCCAUAAUAUACUGAAUGGCAUCAUUCGGUAUUGAAAACUCCGGUGGAUAGAGAUGGGCACGCGCAAGAUUAGAUAGUUGGUGAGGUAACGGCUCACCAAGUCUACGAUCUUUAGGGGGCCUGAGAGGGUGAUCCCCCACACUGGUACUGAGACACGGACCAGACUCCUACGGGAGGCAGCAGUGAGGAAUAUUGGACAAUGGGUGAGAGCCUGAUCCAGCCAUCCCGCGUGAAGGACGACGGCCCUAUGGGUUGUAAACUUCUUUUGUAUAGGGAUAAACCUACCCUCGUGAGGGUAGCUGAAGGUACUAUACGAAUAAGCACCGGCUAACUCCGUGCCAGCAGCCGCGGUAAUACGGAGGGUGCAAGCGUUAUCCGGAUUUAUUGGGUUUAAAGGGUCCGUAGGCGGAUCUGUAAGUCAGUGGUGAAAUCUCACAGCUUAACUGUGAAACUGCCAUUGAUACUGCAGGUCUUGAGUGUUGUUGAAGUAGCUGGAAUAAGUAGUGUAGCGGUGAAAUGCAUAGAUAUUACUUAGAACACCAAUUGCGAAGGCAGG
rnacentral:rRNA from 1 species